rnacentral:misc_RNA from 1 species
CAGGGAACAGCUGCACAUAAAGUAGAAAUAAAGUUGACAUUUCAUCUUUAAAAAUCUAACUGGAUUUAUUAACAGUUCAACAGUUUAUAUAAAUCAGGAGACAAAUUCCAGCAUGCCUGGAAAAUUUCUGUAUUACAAGAUCCUGUAACAUCAUGCUUCUACCAACCAAGAUGUACUCAGCAAUCCUGACAAGCCUCCAUGUUACCCUGAUCAAAAACAAUGGGCGAACCUUACCAAGAACAUUUAACUGCUUUCCCAUAAUAAUUUCCUUCCCACCCGAAAUCAUUUUACCCACAAUACCAGUGAAAGAGCAAUUAUUCACCAAUUUACCCGCAUACCAAAGAUAGAACAGUAUUUAAUAUCAUGGAUGAAAACAAGAAUUAUUCUGCUGUUGGCAGGCCAGUGCAGUUAUAUACAAGUCUAUCAUUUUUGUUAACAUUUUGAUUUUGAGAGUUCAGGAAAAUGUAAUUUCAUUUAUAGAUCAGAGUCAACAUUUUUAUAAGGACUUGUUUUAGAUUAUUCAGAAUGAUAGGUUACUAUCCAAAUUCUAUGUCUGAAACGUUGUUUCGUCCUCAGGAUCGUAUUGGUCUGCUUAAGGCACGAAAGAAAACGAAAAAAGCGUCGGAAUCCUCUGGUCGUGCUGAUGAAGAGCAAAAAUUCGUAAAUCAGGAAGAAGAAUUUUCUCAUUCGGUCGAUGUGUCAGCACAACGUAAUAGAUCGGUAUCUGCUGAUUCUGACACUAGUUCUUUCGUUCAGUCGGUUAUUGUUGUGCCGUCUUCCAGCUCUGAUGGGAAAUACACAGUAUACACGGGUGUUCAUGAUAAUAUACCUGCAUCUAGAUUGGCUGUAGAAUCUGAAUCGAAGCGCGCAUCAUUUUUAUCGUCAUUACAAUAUGGUCAUAAUAUAAGUAACCCAGAAUUACGACAGCAUAGAUUUGAAAAUGACAAUUCAGACUGGGCAAUGAGAAAACUAAGUUUAACAAGUAGACUCAAACGGAAUAGUUCUAGUGCAGGGAGCAGGCUCUCCUCAUCGGAUAAUCUCUCAGGAAAUUUUCGUAAUGAUAAAUGUCAGUGUGGUCAGUAUCAUUCACAUGUGUUCAAAUCGCAACGAAACAGACUGUCAAAAAUUACAGUGCCAAAACUAGAAGAACAUUUACCAGGUAAGAAGACUGCAGACAUGUCACAAGGCAAUGAAAAUCAGGAAGUCAUUUCAGACAUAUUUUGGAAAGCAUCUCUUAGUUUCACUGAAUAUAAACAUGGGUGCAACUUGGUGGAGUUUAAGAGCUUAUGGCCACCAACAUCUACCAUCAGAAGUUUACUUCAAGAAGGAAUAGAGGAUAUAGGUUUGAGAGGUGCAUUAUGGGAACUGUGUCUGCUUGUAAUGGUUGAUGGUCCAGUUUCUGUGCUUCAGGCGCUCUUGGAAAUGAAAUAUAUUAGGCAGGAGUAUCAGUAUGAGAAUGAUCCAGGAUUGCUUCACCUAGCAUGUGUUCUACAGAACUUGGAAGCUGUACAGCUUCUUACUCAGUUUGGAGUAUCCUCGAAAGUCAAAGACAAAUCAGGUAAAACAGCUGAAGAAGUUUGUUUAUGCCCAAAGAUAAGGAAACAGUUAAAUACAAAACUCCAGGCGUCAUUCCGUGCCGACAGAAAUAAGGUUCAAACUGCACUGAAACCAGGGCUUCAAGAUAAAGAUGUUAUUUUUAGAUUAGCCUCCAACCCAAAAUGCCUGUAUGAGCUGCAGAAGAAAUUACAGACAUUUGAUUUUCAUGUAAAUGGUGAGACAAAGGGUGGAGAUUAUCUUGUGCAUGUGAUUGCCAAAUCAGGGAUAUGUCAGCUGCCACUGUUGAUGUCAUUGGUACGUCUGCAGCAAGCAGACGUCAAUCUGUGUAAUGCAGAUGGGAUGACUCCACUGAUGAUAGUUGCACUGGAUGGAGACAGCAACUUAUGUGAUACCCUGAUGUGCUUGAUGGGAGCAGACCCGAAUAAACAGAAUGAGAAGAAUGGUAGAACAGCGCUACAUUAUGCCGUCAUGAAUAACCAUGUUAAUGUUGUCAAUUGUCUUCUGAAACGUGGAGCAGACGUCAAUUUAGAGGACAAAGACAGGUGUCGUCCAGAUGAUGCUGUGUUGCCAGGCAACGAGGCCGGAGACUGUCGACAAAUCAUACAGUUACACAGAGUGCAGAGAUGUCAGCAACUCAGUGAGAUGGUCAGAGAUGCAUAUAAGCUUGAAGUAGAUACUUGUGCAUGGUAUAUGGCUGUUGAAAAUAAGGAUGCUGUUUAUCCGAUAGAUUUGCGUUUGACAGACCUGUCUGUGGUAGACUCGGAUUACAACACCCUUAUCAUGGUAGCUGCAGUAAAUGCGAAGGUUCACAACUUGGAGACAUUACUUGGUGUAUGUACAGAUACAAUCAAUGCCCAGCAUUCACAGACUGGUUUAACUGCACUGUCUAUGGCUGCGAAGGCAGGACAUGAUGCAUGCUGUAAUAUUCUACUGAGUCAUGGGGCUUGCGCUAGUAUACAGGAUAUGCAGGGAUAUCUGGCUAUACAUCAUGCAGUCCUUCAGAACCAUGAGAAUGUUGUUGAUGUGUUCAGAGAGCAUACUCCUUCAGCUUCCGUGGGAUUAUAUAAAAGUUUGAGGUUGUGUAGAAAAUCCUCCAUCCAUGAAAAAUUAACAGAAAUGUUUGAAAAGAGACAAGAUCAGAUUAUAAUCCCUCAGCUAAGAUUGUCUGCAAUGGAUGGAAAUGCUGAAAAACUCUUCUGUAUACUGGAGGAGGGUGACAAUGUCAAUUCUAAGAGUGACCUCAGCAGUCAGCCAGUAUUAUUUGUUGCCGUAGAGAACAGUCAUGUUGAGGUUGUCAAGCUUCUUGUUGAGAAAGGUGCAGACUUGAAGAAGAGGGAUGCCAGGACUGGUAAUACAGUAUUACAUGUUUCAUCUCAGACUGGGCACUUAGAAACUGCAAACUAUUUACUGCCAUUCUGUAAAAAGUCACAGAACCAGUCAAGUUCUAAAAAUAGACUGGAUAUCAAUGCAGUAAACAAUGAUAAGAGAACAGCAUUGCAAAUAGCAGCAGAAAAAGGUUAUAUAAAAUUGACCAGUCUGCUGAUUGAGUGUGGGGCCACAACAGCUAUACUGGACCCGAAGGGCACACUGUUUACCUCACCUGAGUUUGAAGGGGCCAGGGUUCUCAUAGAGGGCCACAGGAAUGAGCAUACGCAAGCUGUGAUGAAAUUAGUAGCUGACAAGUCAAAGAAAGCUCCUUUCUUCCUUUCAAAGAUCUGGGUGUCUCGAUUUGAUCACAAUCUCAGGGACAAGAAUGGUGACACUCCACUGAUGGUAGCAUGCCGGUUUGGGCGACUAGAGACAGUCAAGUUUCUGUUACAAUCAGCAGUUUAUGCAAACCAGAUCUCAGAUGAUGAUUCGGAUCACUCUGACACAGACUCGGGUGUACCGGACCUCCCACCAUGGAAGUCACAUGUGGAAUCAGUGAAUCAUGAGGAGUUAAUGAAGACAUUGGAGAAGUCAGGGGACCAUGAUAAUCUUCCAUUAGGGGCCACUUGUGACUUGGCAAGGCCUCUGAGUCUGAAUCCCCAGUGAUACGGUAAAUACAUUACCUGGACCAGUGGUUACAGAGAGAGGACAAAACAAAGUGACCUCCUACCUCACUGAUGUGGAGAGACCCAAGGGACUUUAUAUAUAUCAUGAUGGAAUAGUGAGCCACAUUUGUGCGGUG